rnacentral:rRNA from 1 species
GACAGAGGGUGCUAGCGUUGUUCGGAAUUACUGGGCGUAAAGGGCGCGUAGGCGGCUCGUUUUAGUCGGGUGUGAAAUCCCGGGGCUCAACCCCGGAACUGCAUUCGAUACUGGCGGGCUAGAGACCGGAAGAGGUGGGUGGAAUUCCCGGUGUAGCGGUGAAAUGCGCAGAUAUCGGGAGGAACACCGAUGGCGAAGGCAGUCCCCUGGGCCUGUACUGACGCUCAUGCACGAAAGCGUGGGGAGCAAACAGG